CGGGGAUUUUGGGCAAUGGGCGAAAGCCUGACCCAGCAACGCCGCGUGAGGGAUGAAGUAUUUCGGUAUGUAAACCUCGAAAGAAUGGGAAGAAUAAAUGACGGUACCAUUUAUAAGCUCCGGCUAACUACGUGCCAGCAGCCGCGGUAAUACGUAGGGAGCAAGCGUUGUUCGGAUUUACUGGGCGUAAAGGGCGCGUAGGCGGCGCGGUAAGUCACUUGUGAAAUCUCUGAGCUUAACUCAGAACGGCCAAGUGAUACUGCUGUGCUAGAGUGCGGAAGAGGCAACCGGAAUUCUUGGUGUAGCGGUGAAAUGCGUAGAUAUCAAGAGGAACACCUGAGGCGAAGGCGGGUUGCUGGGCCGACACUGACGCUGAUGCGCGAAAGCCAGGGGAGCAAACG
rnacentral:rRNA from 1 species